rnacentral:rRNA from 1 species
CGCGGCCUACGGGACGCAGCAGUGGGGAAUAUUGCACAAUGGGGGGAACCCUGAUGCAGCGACGCCGCGUGAGUGAAGAAGUAUUUCGGUAUGUAAAGCUCUGCCAGCAGGGAAGAAGAAAGACGGUACCUGACCAAGAAGCCCCGGCUAACUACGUGCCAGCAGCCGCGGUAAUACGUAGGGGGCAAGCGUUAUCCGGAUUUACUGGGUGUAAAGGGAGCGUAGACGGCAGAGCAAGUCUGGAGUGAAAGGCAGGGGCCCAACCCCUGGACUGCUCUGGAAACUGUCCGGCUGGCGUGC